GAUGAACGCUGGCGGCGUGCCUAAUACAUGCAAGCCGAGCGAACAGACGAGGAGCUUGCUCCUCUGACGUUAGCGGCGGACUGGUGAGUAACACGUUGAUAACCUACCUAUAAGACUGGGAUAACUUCGGGAAACCGGAGCUAAUACCGGAUAAUAUAUUGAACCGCAUGGUUCAAUAGUGAAAGACGGUUUUGCUGUCACUUAUAGAUGGAUCCGCGCCGCAUUAGCUAUUUGGUAAGGUAACGGCUUACCAAGGCAACGAUGCGUAGCCGACCUGAGAGGGUGAUCGGCCACACUGGAACUGAGACACGGUCAAGACUCCUACGGGAGGCAGCAGAAGGGAAUCUUCCGAAAUGGGCGAAAGCCUGACGGAGAAACGCCGCGGGAGUGAUGAAGGUCUUCGGAUCGUAAAACUCGGUUAUUAGGAAAGAACAAAUGUGUAAGUAACUAUGCACGUCUUGACGGUACCUAAUCAGAAAGCCACGGCUAACUACGUG
rnacentral:rRNA from 1 species